UACGUAGGGGGCAAGCGUUGUCCGGAUUUAUUGGGCGUAAAGAGCGUGUAGGCGGCCUGACAGGUCUGCUGUGAAAACUCGAGGCUCAACCUCCAGCUGUCGACGGAAACCGUAUGGCUAGAGUCCGGAAGAGGAGAGUGGAAUUCCUGGUGUAGCGGUGAAAUGCGCAGAUAUCAGGAAGAACACCAAUGGCGAAGGCAGCUCUCUGGGACGGUACUGACGCUGAGACGCGAAAGCGUGGGGAGCGAACAGG
rnacentral:rRNA from 1 species